UACGUAGGGGGCAAGCGUUGUCCGGAUUUAUUGGGUUUAAAGGGUGCGUAGGCGGCCCUGUAAGUCAGUGCUGAAAUAUCCCAGCUUAACUGGGAGGGUGGCAUUGAUACUGCGGGGCUAGAGUACAGAUGAGGUAGGCGGAAUUGACGGUGUAGCGGUGAAAUGCUUAGAUAUCGUCAAGAGCACCUAUAGCGAAGGCAGCUUACUAGGCUGUAACUGACGCUGAGGCACGAAAGUGUGGGGAUCAAACAGG
rnacentral:rRNA from 1 species